GGAGCCGAGAGACAGAAUUAACGGCCGGCCAGGCUGCCCCGCUCCGGGCUGGAGCUGCCCGCUGACACGGAGCUACAGCCCCACGAACAGCUCCUCCUGUCCGGGGAGGCUUUCACCGAGCUGCCGCUGAAACGCUGCGGAGCUUUAACAGCGACAUUAGCUCUAAAAGCAGCGCAGAGAGGGACAUACCUGGAGAGGUGAAGCUCCGUCCUUCAGCGUCACUAUUGAUUAUCAUUAAAGUCAGCAGAGACACCAACGUCCCGCAGACGAUCUUGGGUGCGUAACAGAGAAACCUCAGUUUUCCUGGAGGAGUCGGUGCAGGAGGUUUGACAGCUCAGCAGCAGAGGACUGGUGACGGCGGCACAGCUGAGCCGGAAAUAAACUGGCGGCCAUCAAUCAAAACGUCUGUGUUCCCAAAAACCCCAAACAAACUCCUACUGGGCCGGGUCAUUUUUCUUCUUCAUGUAAUAUCUGCAGCAGUCUCGCUGAGGACGCUUUGAUUUCCCAUCGCUCAGCCAGUUGACAUUUAUUCCACAAACACUUGACAUUUGGAAAUUGUCUUCCUGUGUGAGGAACCUGCGGCCCCCUCUGCGCAGCGCCGUCCCGCCGGCCGGCCUUUGUACCGAGCAGCUGGACGAUGUCAGUGAAAGAUGGAACUCAGAUGAAAAGAGAAGCCUCUCCGCCUGAACUGGACCCAGAGUUCGUCCUCUCCUGCUGUAAAGUCUCACCGUUUUCUCUGACUUUCACAGCUUGGCAUGUCGUUUUUCCACACCUGCACUGCCCUCCUCCACCCUGCAGGCUGUGAUUUCCAUCAGAAACAUUAUGUACCAGCAGGGUAGCGCUGUGUUCUGCGUUGAGCUCGGAUCAGCGCCGGUUCCCUCACAGCUGUGAGUGGAAGGAGGAGGAGGAGACCCUGCUGGUCAUGAUGAGUUCAAACCACAGCCUGAGCUUCUGGUCGGCCGCUUCAUUUGCAUGUCAAUGAGGAAUCUGAUCACAUCUCAGCGUUCAGCGGCGGCGGCGGCGAAACGCUCGACACCAGAAUGGAUGAUUCUGAUCCGGAAACAUCUGCAACAAUGGCAGAAAGAGCAAACCUCAAAACAUUUGAUCUUUUCAGAUGUUCUCCUCCCAACAGCAUCGUGUUUCACUGACUGAUAACAAAGAGCAGCUAUAAAGGGGACAUAAUACACAUAAUACACAUAAUUCACAUUUUGACGUCUGUUUGGGUUUCAACAUUUUCUAAAAACAAACCGCUAAACAAAGGGGAAAAAACCACAAGCUGUCUUUUACCAAUAAGUUUUAUGGUGUCUGGAAAAUAAGCAGUUUUAAAAACCUCUGAAAUGACCUGUUACCUAGCAACCCAAACUGAGUUCCAGCCUGUUUGCUCAGCUGGUUUUAUCAAUCAAUCAAUCAAUCAAUCAAUCAAUCAAUCAAUCAAUCAAUCAAUCAAUCAAUCAAAUGUUACUUGUGUAGCACAUUUCAGCAGCAAGGCAUUUCAAGGUGC